rnacentral:rRNA from 1 species
UACGAAGGGGGCUAGCGUUGCUCGGAAUUACUGGGCGUAAAGCGCACGUAGGCGGAUCUUUUAAGUCAGGGGUGAAAGCCUGGAGCUCAACUCCAGAACUGCCUUUAAGACUGCAUCGCUUGAAUCCAGGAGAGGUGAGUGGAAUUCCGAGUGUAGAGGUGAAAUUCGUAGAUAUUCGGAAGAACACCAGUGGCGAAGGCGGCUCACUGGACUGGUAUUGACGCUGAGGUGCGAAAGCGUGGGGAGCAAACAGG